CACCGACCAGCUCGGUGUAAAGCAGCCCCCAUCCUCCUCCCGCUUGCACCCUCCGCCGUCGACACGAGCCGAGCCGCCGAUCACCCUCCGCCUCCCCCCGCUUCCAAGUCCUGCGGAGAUCGGAGGACCUCCAGUCCGCCGGCCUCCUCCCUCAGAUCCACACAGUCGUCGGCAGGCCGCCGGCCGCCUGACUGAGCAGAGGAGGGGGCGAGUCGGCAACGUUGCUCCGCGGUUGAGGCUAUCGACAUGGGCAGAGGGGCGGAUGUGGAGAUGGAGAUGGGUGCGUCGCUCUAUGGCGGUGGCGCUGGUGGGAGCACGCCGCCCCAAGUUCCUUUGCCCUCCACCUCAAUCAUCCUUUUCUCAUCUUCUCGGUAUUGUGGCGAUCCCACUCGACGCCGUCACGCCGUGCUGCUACUGCUCCGCCCCUGGCUUGCAGCAGCGUACUGGUCCAGGAGAGAGGGCGCAACACCGUUGUGCACAACGGUUGGGCGUAACAGCACAAGGUCGUCCGUUCCCACUCCCUCCUGGCCUGCUCUCCUUCAGAUCCUCCUGUGAUGUCCUGGUUCUUGGAGGUGGCGAAAUGGCAGAAGGGUGCGGAGUGGCUGUCUUCAAGCAAUCAAGCGGAUGAGUAGAGGAGGACCCGAUGGAAAUCUCCUGCCCCUCUUAUAGAGUUGAACAACAUGCGGUCGUUCUUCCAUCUGAAAAACAAAUUUAAGUUCUUUCCGUGUUGCUGACCUGCAGGUUAGUUGCUCAUUGUAAUGUUUACUCCUUACUUUUUCCCCAACUUGUCCCCAUUAAUUUAAACACCAUGCCCAGUUCAUGCGUCUGAUGUGGUUUCCCUGUUUGUGAAUGUUCCCUUGCCAUGCUAUAUCUGUACAAUUCAUAGGCACAUAAUGGAAUUGAUAGGACAUCCUGCUAUAAGCAUAUCAUGUCCUGUGCCGUGCCAUAUUUCCACAAUGCAUCUGAUUUUUCAAUGAUUGAUUACUGCAUGGAGUGCAGUUGGAGCGACUCACAUCUGAUUUUUUUGCCAAUGAUCAAUUAUUUGUUUCUGCGGCAUUUGAUAGACGACGUACAAGUACGACUGUUUAUCCAAGGUGGCGGAGGAGGAAUCGGUCGUUUUCAUUCAGUGAGGUCUCGAGCAUAUGCAGCUUCUCCUCCAGAACAAAGAGCAGAAUGUUCAGAGAUCCAGAAAGUGAAACUAUUUGGAAGUUAUGAGCAGGCCGUACGUCCAGCAGCGACGAGGUUCAGGCUUGGCGCCGAUUGCCUUAUGUCAGAUGAAUAGGUUAAAUGUCCUAACUUCUCAACCUGGAGCACUUGGUGAUUCUGCCAAGUUGCCACCGCUAAAAUGAUGUUUUCGUAUCUUCUGCACAAUCAAAUUUGCAAUGCGACUCCUCGGGGGCAGGGCUGGAAGGUGUGUUGGUGGGACUGCCGAGGGAAGAGGAAGGUCAUCUUACAAGCCUAGAGGUAAGGUGUUCAACAGGUUCCCUCAUGAUAUGCAGAGUGACCUCCCUCACGGUAUGGCUGUAGAGGAGUCCAGCAAGACCACCAGUCAGAACAAGGAACCUGAAAGUGAAGCUACGAUAACGCCACAACCUAAGAUUGCAUACAAGGCUUUGUUUUCUUCUUCACGUCUCCUUUUUUCACAAGUUAUUAUUUAUAUUCGUAAUUUGUUAUCAUUUUGUUAUAUGCACUGCUGAAGUAAGAGAAUGCCCAACUUUGGAGCGUAAAUGAAAUCAUUCAAGUGGC